rnacentral:lncRNA from 10 species
GUGCGCAGGUGGACUGGAAAAGAGGAAGGCAAACGCAGUGGCUAGGCGGAGACCUCCCAAAUCCCACGUCUCCCCGAGAAUCCCCGACGGGCUACAGACCUAGGGCAGCCAUAAGAAAAAACCCCUUGAGGCAUUGAAAUCUCUAAUCCAUGUCUGGAAACAGAUUGAUGGUUCCCGAAAGUCCAGUGGGUAUGCCUCAUUUGAGAGAUCCCUAAGGGCAGGGUCGUGUCUCUCCCCUUACACUGGGAGUUUCCUGAAGCCCAGAUACUGAGUUUCACCCUAAAGAAGGCAGCUCUGAGAGCACUAUAUGUGUCCCCCGUCAGACUGGGAGCUUCCUGAGGACAGGGGCUAAAUUUCACCCAUGAGAGUAACGCUUCAAGAAACACUCUGUCUUCCUGCUUUGAGGACAGCUGAAGUCUUGCCACUUCUUCUGGAUGCUCUGACCAUCAGUAAGCCACCUCAGUCUCACCCUCCGCAGAAUGCAGGCCCACUCCGUUGCUGAAGGGCCUCCUCCUUGGGCCAGGGCGCCUGCUUCUGCCAGUGGCAUCAUCACCCCACUCCUCAGCCGCCAGUCAUCAGAGACACGGUCUGACUUUGUUACCCCGGCUGGAGUGCAGUGGUGCAAUCAUGGCUCACUGCAGCCUUAACCUCCUGGGCUCAAGUGAUCCUCUCGCCAAGGCUAGGAUAAGUAGCUAGGACUACAGAUGCGCCCCAUCACGCCCAGCUAAUUUUACAACUUCUGUAGAGAUGGAGUGUUGCUGGGUUGCCCAGGCUGGUCUUGAAUUCCUGGGCUCAAGCGAUCCUCCUGUGUCCGGAAUUGGUGGGUUCUUGGUCUCACUGACUUCAAGAAUGAAGCCGCGGACCCUCGCGGUGAGUGUUACAGUUCUUAAAGACAGCGUGUCCAGAGUUUGUUCCUUCUGAUGUUCAGAUGUGUUCAGAGUUUCUUCCUUCUGGUGGGUUCGUGGUCUCGCUGGCUUAGGGGUGAAGCUGCAGACCUUCGCGGUGAGUGUUACAGUUCUUAGGGCGGCGCGUCUGGAGUUGUCUGUUCCUCCCGGUGGGCUCGUAGUCUCGCUGGCUUCAGGAGUGAAGCUGCAGACCUUCGCGGUGAGUGUUACAGCUCAUAAAGGCAGCGUGGACCUACAGAGUGAGCAGUAGCAAGAUUUAUUGCAAAGAGCAAAAGAACAAAGCUUCCACAGCGUGGAAAGGGAUCCCAGC